rnacentral:rRNA from 1 species
ACGGGCGGAGUGUACAAGGCCCGGGAACGUAUUCACCGCGGCAUGCUGAUCCGCGAUUACUAGCAAUUCCAACUUCAUGUAGGCGGGUUGCAGCCUACAAUCCGAACUGAGACCGUUUUUAGGGUUUUGCUCCCCCUCGCGGGUUUGCUUCCCUCUGUUGACGGCCAUUGUAUUACGUGUGUAGCCCAAGGUCAUAAGGGGCAUGAUGAUUUGACAUCGUCCCCACCUUCCUCCACCUUGUCGGUAGCGGUCCCAUUAAGAGUGCUCUUGCGUAGCAACUAAUGGCAAGGGUUGCGCCUCGUUGCGGGAACUUAAACCAACAUCUCAACGAAAACAAGCUGGACNAACAAACAAUGCAACCAACCUGGUCUCCAAAUUUCCCCCGAAAGGGCAA